AAAGAGGCACGCGAGCUGGGUUCAGAACGUCGUGAGACAGUUCGGUCCCUAUCCGGCGCGGGCGGAGGAUAUUUGAGAGGAGCUGUCCUUAGUACGAGAGGACCGGGAUGGACGGACCACUGGUGUAUCUGCUGUCGGCCAACGGCAUGGCAGAGUAGCCAAGUCCGGAAGGGAUAAACGCUGAAGGCAUCUAAGCGUGAAGCCCCCCUCAAGAUGAGAUAUCCCUCACAUAAGUGGGUAAGAUCCCUUGAAGACUACAAGGUAGAUAGGGCAGGGGUGGAAGUGUGGCAACACAUGGAGCUGACUGUUACUAAUCGAUCGAGGGCUUGACCAAA
rnacentral:rRNA from 1 species